rnacentral:rRNA from 1 species
AUUGAACGCUGGCGGCAGGCCUAACACAUGCAAGUCGAGCGGAUGAAGGGAGCUUGCUCCUGGAUUCAGCGGCGGACGGGUGAGUAAUGCCUAGGAAUCUGCCUGGUAGUGGGGGAUAACGUCCGGAAACGGGCGCUAAUACCGCAUACGUCCUGAGGGAGAAAGUGGGGGAUCUUCGGACCUCACGCUAUCAGAUGAGCCUAGGUCGGAUUAGCUAGUUGGUGGGGUAAAGGCCUACCAAGGCGACGAUCCGUAACUGGUCUGAGAGGAUGAUCAGUCACACUGGAAAUGAGACACGGUCCAGACUCCUACGGGAGGCAGCAGUGGGGAAUAUUGGACAAUGGGCGAAAGCCUGAUCCAGCCAUGCCGCGUGUGUGAAGAAGGUCUUCGGAUUGUAAAGCACUUUAAGUUGGGAGGAAGGGCAGUAAGUUAAUACCUUGCUGUUUUGACGGUACCAACAGAAUAAGCACCGGCUAACUUCGUG